GCUGUCAAACACUUGCAUUCAGAGAAAAUUUUGGAAGAGCAGCAGCUAGUUGUUAUUCGAUCUUAGUGCAUUUGUAAUUAAAUAGAAAGUGUUAAAUUGAAUGCGAACCGAGCGCGUAGCGUGUAAAAUGCAUUUGUAUGAAUCCAGGCGGCUGCUCAACGGCUGAAGUGAAAAUUCCAAGCCAAAGAGAGAAAAAAGAAGCAGAGGAAGAA